CCUACGGGUGGCAGCAGUGGGGAAUAUUGCACAAUGGGGGAAACCCUGAUGCAGCGACGCCGCGUGAGCGAUGAAGUAUUUCGGUAUGUAAAGCUCUAUCAGCAGGGAAGAAAAUGACGGUACCUGACUAAGAAGCCCCGGCUAACUACGUGCCAGCAGCCGCGGUAAUACGUAGGGGGCAAGCGUUAUCCGGAUUUACUGGGUGUAAAGGGAGCGUAGACGGCUGUGCAAGCCAGAUGUGAAAGCCCGGGGCUCAACCCCGGGACUGCAUUUGGAACUGUGUGGCUGGAGUGUCGGAGAGGCAAUCGGAAGUCCGUGUGUAGCGGUGAAAUGCGUAGAUAUACGGAGGAACACCAGUGGCGAAGGCGGAUUGCUGGACAGUAACUGACGCUGAGGCGCGAAAGCGUGGGGAGCAAACAGGAUUAGAUACCCCGGUAGUC
rnacentral:rRNA from 1 species